UAAAGCUACAGUUUACUUAGGCCUGUGUGUGUUUGGACAUGCUCGAUUCAUACGGCUUAGUUUUGGUAUAUUUUCUGGAACAUUUAUACUGCUGUUGGGCUUUCAGGAUUGUUACACAUGACAGACAGCUUACUAAAAGGCAAGGUUCCAAAGAACAUCCAAUUUCCCCACUGUUUGGUUUUAUCAUACAGAUAAAAGCUGACCAUGACCACAGUAAAUGCCCCCUGCUCUCUGCUUGCCCGGAACGAGUUUUACCGGAGCAUAAAUCCAACAGACCCAAUAAAAGCAGUAAACAACUUCUCUGAUACCCUCAUAGAACCAAAGCAAAGACAGGUGACUGUCUGGGUGACCAUAUCUAAACAUCAAGAUUACUCAGGACACAUGACCAACGCUUGGACAUUAGGCCUGAUUUUAAGAAGCCCGGCAUCAUCCAGCAGAACCUCAGGCAGAUGUCUAAGCCCUGCUGACCGUGUCGUCAAGUAGUCACCUGCACAGCAAUGCUGGAGAAGAUCAUAUUAAAGGGAUAGUUCACCCAAAAUAAAAAAUAUUUGACAUAACACACCAUCAUGUCACUGCAAACCUGCAUGUAUUACUUUCUUCUGCAGAACACAAAAGAAGAUAUUUUGAAGAAUGUUGGUAACCAAACAACAUUGGCCCUUAUUAAGACAUUUCUCCAGAAAUCUUAUUUUUAUGUUCCACAGACGAAAAAGUCAUAUAGAGCUUUUGAAUGACGUGCGGUGACUAAAUGAUGACUGAUUUUUUUGCUGUUGUUGAACUAUCGCUUUAAGAGCUCACAGCAAUUCCCUCCUUCUCUAUAUACUGCGUGUAGACACGAAUGUUGCAUCUGCUCCUCAAGAUAUCAAUUUGAGAUAUUUUGCAGACGUUGUUUUUUAUUUACCUUGACUUAGUGAUGUUUGGAGCUAGACUAGAGGGCUUCCAUGUUCCAAAAGGGCAACUGAGUUUAUGUUUAUAUUGUCAAACAUUCAUAUUGCCAUUUGCACUAUACCUGUAUGUCCAAUGCAUAUUUCGCUAUCAUGCACAAAGAACUAAAACAUGCACAUAAGUCACAUCCCCAAAAAGCGCUGUGGAGCAGUUUUUUCUGAGCUGGGACUUAUUGCGGAAUCAUAAAGAAAAAGAACAUGUCAGCAUGCCACAAAGAGGCCUUUUCCCAUGUGUCCAUGCAGUCGGCAAAACUUAGUGACCUGGAAAAUCAGUGCACACAGAAAUAAAGCCAGUCAACAUCAUCGUAGUGUGCAAAAACCAGUACGGUCAGGUCUUUUACUGUGCUUAACCAUUUCUCAUAUUUACAGAGUAAGUUUGGUCUUGCACUCACCCUGCUUAAGUCUGUGGCUCUUUGCGCUGCUUUAUUGGUUUACCUUCACCUUUUCUAAAUAUGAGAAUAGGAGAUAUUUCUGUGACAUGUAAAAUAUGUCUCUCUAUUUAGCAAAAUCUCUAUGCCUUAUUCCACCAAAAACUUCCAAAGUAUACCAUUCAAUUCAUUAUCGCUCGAGAUAUUCUUUUCUAUACUGGUCCCACAUAAAGCAUUGACCCCCAAAAUUUGUUUGUAUAUAAAGUCCAUAUUAAAAACCGAUGAUUGUGCAUUGUUGUUUGAGUGUGAACUGAACCGGUGUUAUAUAAGCUCUCUUUCAUAGGCUGAACAAAAAAGCAGAAGGGAGAGGCUAUGGCCCUUCCUAGGCCACCUUUUGAACAGAGACAAAAUGACUGCAUGAAAAUACACAAAGAACGUUGUACCUAAAUGGUUAUGUGCCAAAACAACAGCAGUAGAUAUCUUCCCCAAGAACAUCAUGAGGUUAAA